rnacentral:lncRNA from 1 species
CGGGGCGAGACGGGGGCCGCGUCCUACUUGCUUCUGGGUCCUAGCGCGGGCACGCAGUCGCCACCCUAACUACGAGAGCGUGUCUUGGGGAAAAGCGCGAUGCUUUUUGCCCUGCGGCGUCAGUGACCGUAAGCAGCCUUCGGAGCGACUGACCCACAGCUCUAAAGGACAGCUAGCGCCACUGUUGAGACAGAAAACUGAGGCUAUGCCUGGGAAACUGUGGAUGAGUUGGAGAGCAACCCCUCCAAAGCGUCCCAAGCACUUGGUGUUUUUCUGAGCCAAACUCCCUUCUUAGAGACUAAUUAGCACCCCCACUUGUCUGUGGAACUUAGGGCCUGAAUUCAGACAAAGCUCUAAAACCUGGAGGCACGAGCUGAGGCAGCUUCUCCAUCUGGAGCAUGAGAUGGUGAGGGGAAGCUCCAGGUCUCCCAGCAGAGGGAAAAUUGCCUGCUGGAACGCUGUUGAGAAGAAAUGUGGACUGUCUCCAGGUGUCACACAGGAGAUUUAAACCCUGGGCCAGAGAGAUGUUCAGUGAGAAAAGUGCUUACUACCAAGCCUGAUGGCUGAAUUUGAUCCCAGAAGCCAAAUGGUGGAAAGAGAGAACUGACUCCCACAAAUUGUCUUAUAACCUUCAUAUACGUGUGUUUGUGCAUGCAACAUACAAAAUAAAUAAAUGUUUAAAAUUAAAGAAUUAAAUAUUGGC